rnacentral:rRNA from 1 species
CCUACGGGAGGCAGCAGUGAGGAAUAGUGGUCAAUGGUCGGGAGACUGAACCAGCCAAGCCGCGUGAGGGAGGAAGGUACAGAGUAUCGUAAACCUCUUUUGUCAGGGAACAAAGACUGGGACGCGUCCCCGGAUGAGUGUACCUGAAGAAAAAGCAUCGGCUAACUCCGUGCCAGCAGCCGCGGUAAUACGGAGGAUGCGAGCGUUAUCCGGAUUUAUUGGGGGGAACGGGAGCGUAGACGGUGCAGCAAGUCUGAUGUGAAAGGUCGGGGCCCAACCCCGGGACUGCAUUGGAAACUGUUGACCUGGAGUACAGGAGAGGUAAGCGGAAUUCCUUGUGUAGCGGU